GGUUAAAAAUGAAAGAAUGAACUGCCAGA
rnacentral:piRNA from 1 species